rnacentral:misc_RNA from 1 species
AACGCACCUUGCGCUCCUUGGUAUUCCUUGGAGCAUGCCUGUUUGAGUAUCAUGAAAUUCUCAAAGUAAACCUUUUGUUAAUUCAACUGGCCUUGCUUUGGAUUUGGAGGUCUUGCAGAUGUCACAGUCUGCUCCUCUUAAAUAUAUUAGCUGGAUCUCAGUAUACACUUGGUUCCACUCGGCGUGAUAAGUAUCACUCGCUGAGGACACUGUAAAAGGUGGCCAGGCAAUGCAGAUGAACCGCUUCUAAUAGUCCAUUCACUUGGACAAUUACAUUUAUGAUCUGAUCUCAAAUCAGGUAGGACUACCCGCUGAACUUAA